rnacentral:rRNA from 1 species
CAGGGUAUAGACCCGAAACCCGGUGAUCUAGCCAUGGGCAGGUUGAAGGUUGGGUAACACUAACUGGAGGACCGAACCGACUAAUGUUGAAAAAUUAGCGGAUGACUUGUGGCUGGGGGUGAAAGGCCAAUCAAACCGGGAGAUAGCUGGUUCUCCCCGAAAGCUAUUUAGGUAGCGCCUCGUGAAUUCAUCUCCGGGGGUAGAGCACUGUUUCGGCAAGGGGGUCAUCCCGACUUACCAACCCGAUGCAAACUGCGAAUACCGGAGAAUGUUAUCACGGGAGACACACGGCGGGUGCUAACGUCCGUCGUGAAGAGGGAAACAACCCAGACCGCCAGCUAAGGUCCCAAAGUCAUGGUUAAGUGGGAAACGAUGUGGGAAGGCCCAGACAGCCAGGAUGUUGGCUUAGAAGCAGCCAUCAUUUAAAGAAAGCGUAAUAGCUCACUGGUCGAGUCGGCCUGCGCGGAAGAUGUAACGGGGCUAAACCAUGCACCGAAGCUGCGGCAGCGACACUAUGUGUUGUUGGGUAGGGGAGCG